rnacentral:rRNA from 1 species
GUGGGGAAUAUUGGGCAAUGGGCGCAAGCCUGACCCAGCAACGCCGCGUGAAGGAAGAAGGCUUUCGGGUUGUAAACUUCUUUUACCAGGGACGAAACAAAUGACGGUACCUGGUGAAUAAGCCACGGCUAACUACGUGCCAGCAGCCGCGGUAAUACGUAGGUGGCGAGCGUUAUCCGGAUUUAUUGGGUGUAAAGGGCGUGUAGGCGGGACAGCAAGUCAGAUGUGAAAACCAGAGGCUCAACCUCUGGCCUGCAUUUGAAACUGUUGUUCUUGAGUGUCGGAGAGGUAAUCGGAAUUCCGUGUGUAGCGGUGAAAUGCGUAGAUAUACGGAGGAACACCAGUGGCGAAGGCGGAUUACUGGACGAAAACUGACGCUGAGGCGCGAAAGCCAGGGGAGCGAACGGGAUUAGAAACCCCAGUAGUCC